UUUUUUUGAUUUUUUUG
rnacentral:sRNA from 1 species